AUUCCAGCUCCAAUAGCGUAUAUUAAAGUUGUUGCAGUUAAAAAGCUCGUAGUUGGAUUUCGGAACCGGCCGAUUGGUCCGUCCUCUGGAUCGUGUACUGAUCGGUCUGUUCUUCUUCGCGAAGACCGCGUGUGCCCUUAACUGGGUGGGCGCGGGAUUCGCGACGUUUACUUUGAAAAAAUUAGAGUGUUCAAAGCAGGCAGUCGCUUGAAUAUCUCAGCAUGGAAUAAUAGAAUAGGACUUUGGUCUUAUUUUGUUGGUUUCCGAGACCGAAGUAAUGAUUAAUAGGGACAGUCGGGGGCAUUUGUAUUCAAACGACAGAGGUGAAAUUCUUGGACCGUUUGAAGACAAACUACUGCGAAAGCAUUUGCCAGGGAUGUUUUCAUUG
rnacentral:rRNA from 1 species